GAACCGUAACAGCCGCAAUUAACAUUCUCUCACUUGUGUCAUCGUUGCCGAAGACGGCAAAAUUGCAGUGUACAAUUGCCUAUAUAGACGUUGUACCACCAUUUCGAGCAAGCAUUAAUUGCUUCAUGCCUACUUCCACCGAGUCUCAACCAAACAAGGUAUGACCUUCCACUUUCUUUACUUUUUCUGCGAUUCCAUGGUCAAGAAGACUGAAAAUCUUUAAUUGCUUUCGGGAUCUGAUUUCAAAAACUCAUUUUUCAUUGGUUUUUGCUGAUUUGAGGGGCAAUCCAAGAGGGUUUUCCCCCUAAUUUCUUAGUCCCACAUCGAAAACUAGGGUUUGAGUUUUCAAAUUUGGGGUUCUAUAUAAAGAACCCCAUAUGUCACUAUUUCACACACUACAUACUGGAGAAAAAAAUCUGAAAAUCAGAAAAUAUACAUGGUAUGCCUAGUGAUCUAGCAAUUUUCUUGGAACCUUUAAUUUACCUUUACCAAGUUUUAGUUUUUUUUUUAAAUUUAAAUUUUUCUUUUGGUUUGUGGCUGAGUUGAGUGGCUAAGGAGCUUAAAGGAGCUCCAAUUCCGUUGCUCGACCAAGGCUGCACCUGAAAGAGGUUUUGAAAUGUGAACUGUGAAGAUCGGAUUUCGAGGUCUGUAGCUGUGCGUUUCCAAGUAUGAACAGUAGCUUCGAAUUUGGUGAAUAUCUAUAGUUUAUUAGUCAUACAAACCUCAAUUAGAUGUAGAAUGAUUCUUUGAAGCAUGGAGCUUACGUUUGGAAUAUUUGAACGAGAUUUUAGGUAUGUCUCUUUUAAACAUACUGUUUUUAUCGGUUUUUACGAACUCUUUGAUUGUGAUUUGUAUGUCUCUUUUAAAAUCAUUUUUGACUAUAAAGGUGACUCGUAUGUCUCUCUUUUGAAAACUUAUUCUGAAUGAAAAUCACUUUUUGAAACUAUUGUUGGAAAUAUAAAUUUUAUUCAAGAUUCUUUAAUGAAUGAAAGGAAAAGUAAUCUUUUCAUGUUUCUUGAACCCUAAUUCAUGUCUAAAUGGUGGUUAAUGUGUGUGAGGAGACAAACCCACAUUAAACCUAGAUUGUAACAAAACCUACAUAUGUAUAAGAUAUUAUGAACGUUUUCCUCUAUGAGAUAUGCUUAAUAAUGAUGGUUAAGAGUUGCUAAUGACAUUCUCAUUGAUGAAUUGGGACAUGGAAAUAUUUUGUAAAGAAGUUAUAUGUUUUCAAAACGUUGAUUGGAAUGACUUAUUCUUUCGAUAUGGCUUAAUGAACUUUAAUGUUAUUAAUGGUGUGACUACUUUGAGAUAAAUUGUGAAUCGGCUUCUAUGCCUUGGACCUUGUUGUUGUGUUUGCCUUGCUAUUCAGGAGGAAGAGUUGCCACUAUGGAUCCUAGUAUAUUAAUUGUCUUGCCAUUCGGGGGGAAGAGUGGCCACUUCCGGGUUCGCUACCUAGGGUGUAUUAAUUGCCUUGCUAUUCGGGAGGAAAAGUAGGCUCCGUGAAUCCAUAUUCCAGUGUAUUGCGUAGUGUGCCUUGCUAUUCGGGAGGAAGAGUAGCCACCGUAAAUCCAUAUUCCGGUGUAUUGCGCAGUGCUGUUGAUAUUGAGUUGGGCCUAUAUGGGUGAUUGUGAUAUCCAUCUUUAUUAUGGAACUAGUAUUUAUGCCUGAUUGAUUUAAAGCAUAAUUGAAACUGGAUUUUGAAAUGGCUUUGUAAACAAUUUAACAAAUGAUAUUAAGAAUCACAAAGUGGAAUAACUGUUUUUAUACUAUCUUUUCAGAACUGAUUUAUUUAUGUAUUAUUAUAUUUAUUUUUAUAUUACUUGUUGUCCUCGAGGCACUCACUGAGUACGAAAGUACUCAGGCAUACCAUUGUUGUUUUUAAUGGUAUGUUAGAUAACGGAGAAGACCAGGUUCGUGAUACUCUCGACGCUUAGGAGAACUUGCUGCUGCUGUUGAUUUGGUGAGCCCACAUCCUUGUUCGUGGGGCACUUCCUAUUUCAUUUAUUAUUCUAGAUUUCCGGGUUGCGUCCCGAAGUUAGAUGAUUGUUGUGUCUCUUAGAAGCUCCAUAGAUAGUUGUCAGAAUUGUGGGUAGAUUGUCAAAGUCUAGUACGACUUAAUGGGUGUUUGCUACGUUUAUGACUAUUUACUUAUAUUAGACUUCCGCUGAUUUUAUUUCAUAAUUGUGAUCCUGAUAUAUGCAGUUACUUAUAACUUUGUUUAAUUUAAUAAGGAAAGAUUAUUAAAAAGGAAUUUGAUGUUACAUUUAUUUUAUAAAAUAUUGGAGGCGAAUAUUUAACCUGGCGGGUUCAAGUGUUAUUAUUAUGUCGUUUAGGUUCUUCUGAUGUUGUUCAUGACGUCGGAUGAAGGUCACGUCUAAGGUGGGUUUUGAGGCGUGACAAGUUUGGUAUCAGAGCUUAGGUUUAGAAGUGUCCUAGGAUUUUUCUUUGGAGCUGUUUCUAGUGGAGUCCUCUUCAUGCAGACUGGCCACCUGUAUGGAUGUGUGACUACCAGGACAUUUUAGGUGUUUCUUAUUCUUCUUGAUUCUAGAUUGUGCGAUAGAGCUUGAACUUCUUUUAGGAUCUUUCUGACGCGUUUUUCACUCGUGCUUAUGGAGAUGACCUUAAUCCGUGUUGCAUAUGUUAAUCCAGUGGACAAUGGUAUUAUGGAGUGCACAUGUUGUGAUGUGUAAUUUGAGGGAUGGUACAUAGUCACAGGAAUUGCAUUGUAGGUGUUUGGUAUAUAUAUGGUCGUUUUAGGGUUUGGUUGUUGAUAAAUUGAGACAGAUUUAGAAACAGAAGUAGUCCUUGUUACAAAGUCUUGUUAAGCUUAAGGGAAUAAUUAUGUUAGUGAUAUAUUUCAAGUACUGGAGGUUAGGAUGAAGGGAACAAUUGAAGGUAUCUUGUAGUGAAUUAAGAAUUAUUACACAUUGAGUCUAUAUUCAUAUUGGGUUAAAAAAUCUAUAUUGCUUAGAUGUUUAGUGGAAGGACUAUACUGUGGGCUUGAAAUUGGAGAACUACCGCUUGUGGAAGAAUGAUUUAAGAAGAUGAUGGAGUUGAUUUAGGCGUUAAUUUGUUAUUCUUGGCUUUGAUAUAAGGUAAGUUAGGCUUGUAUCACUUGUUAUUAAAUUAGCCUCUUUGUCAGAUUAUAUUGUCUAGAUUGAUAUAUUGUGAGCUUUCUAGUCAAACCAUAUAUGUGUUGAACCUUCUUGUUAUCGAAUCCUAGGGAAAGUGUAGACUAAAGGUGAAUCUCUUAUUUUAUGUUUAGGCUUUUUCGUUGUAGUUGUGGGAGUCCUUGUGAGAACUAUAUUUUUAAUUUUAUGGUAUUAAUUAUGGUAUUAACAGAGUCUUAUGAUGUGAUAUCUUUCUAUACAAAAUAACUCGAGCGAAAAUUUCUAAGACUUGAGGUUUAGUGGAAAACUUAGGCCAUAACUUUUAUUCGAGGACGAAUGAUCCUAAGUGGGAGAUAAUGUAACAUUCCGUAAAUCCGAGUUAGGUGUCAAUGUGAAAUAAUUAGGGUUUAGAUGUCAUUUUAACCUUUUGGAUCCCUUGGGAUGGAUAAUGGUGUUAAAUAAUCUUUUCGGGGUCAAAUGAGAUAAGGAAGUUCCUUAGAAAUCUUUAAAUUCGUCAAGUUUGAGACAGUUUUCAGUUAUGUCCAGUUUGCGGGUAUUUGCGUUUGACAUUUGGAAAAACUCAAAACAUAUAAGUUGUAGGGAAUUACAAUACCUUUUCAAAAAUAUAUUAUGCAGCCCAAACAGACAUGUGAGUAAAAAGUUAUGCCUGUUUUACAGAAUACAUGCAAAAUAGAAAUCCCGAUUCUUGUAGAAUUAGGUUUUAAAGCCCAAGCCUUUAUGAUAACCAAUAAAUACACCCCAAAAACGUCCAAGGAGAGAGUUUUUCCACCAGAGCCAUAUAUCAUCUCUCUAAGAUUGUGGAAACUCCAUUCAAGGUCAAAUAUGGGAUGAAGCUUUGGGAUUUCUUCAAAAAGGUUUCAAAUGUGAACAGUGAAGAUCGGAUUUCGAGGUCUGUAGCUGUGCGUUUCCAGCUAUGAACAGUAGCUGCGGAUUUGGUGAAUAUCUAUAGUUUAUUCGUCAUACAAACCUCAAUUAGAUGUAGAAUGAUUCUUUGAAGCAUGGAGCUUACGUUUGGAAUAUUUUAACGGGAUUUAAGGUAACAGAGAAGAGCCGGUUCGUGAUACUCUCGACGCUUAGGAGAACUUGCUGCUGCUGUUGAUUUGGUGAGCCCACAUCCUUGUUCGUGGGACACUUCCUAUUUCAUUUAUUAUUCUAGAUUUCCGGGCUGCGUCCCGAAGUUAUAUGAUUGUUGUGUCUCUUAGAAGCUCCAUAGAUAGUUGUCAGAAUUGUGGGUAGAUUGUCAAAGUCUCGUACGACUUAAUGGGUGUUUGCCACAUUUAUGACUAUUUACUUAUAUUAGACUUCCGCUGAUUUUAUUUCAUAAUUAUGAUCAUGAUAUAUGCAGUUACUUAUAACUU